AAGAGAGAGAGAGAAACGCUGCGAGAGGAGGAGGAGAACAGUAUCUCUCCAACACUAUGACACUAUGCUGACGGAGAGCCUCUUGCUGUCUGCAUGGCUACUGCUAAAUGCUAGCAAGACAUGCAUGAACCAAAACGGUUCACAACGCAAAAGAGUUCCCAGUCUGACCCAGAGCAUUUAUGGAAACUAUGUAGCAAAAACGAAAUGUUCAUUCAAAAAUCUGUGACAGCAAAUACGCCAAGGAAACACCCUGGAUGGAUGGCCAGUUCACUGCAGCACACAACAACCAUGAACAUAUCCUGAAAAAAUAACAGGAUAAGUUGACAGCAGUUUUGGGGAAUGGCAACUGUAUUUACAGAUGUGACAACACACUCUCUAAAUCAGGGCUGACAACCAUAUUCUGCUGCUGUGUAAAUGUAGCCCAAAUGGACUAACAUAAAUGGACUAUAAGGAAAAAAUGUAUUGAAAAAUGGACACUGGGACACAACAAAACGGACACAGGGAGGCAGUGUGAAGACAGCGAGACAUUAGAGAAUGAGAAACGUGCCAGUGUGGAAUGGAGGGAGAGUACAGAGCAGUGGAGAGAACUAACCUCAGUAUGCAUUCGAGCGAGCAGGGCAUUUGAGCACUCAUGUACAUGCAGAAUGGCAUUUGCCCUGCACUAUUUCUGGCCUAUUAUCCUGACUGCAAUGUUUCCACUGCAAUACUUAUAAUCCUUAUACACAAACACACACCCUUAAGGAAUGCCUGAGACCCAUCAAAAAUGAAGAAUGUGUCAAUGAGUGUCUCAAGUGGCCAGAAAACCAGCUGCUGUUCUUGACACAAUUCAAGAUACUGAUGUGCCGUAUCUGAUGGAGAUAAGAUUCACCACAGACCAUGAUCUGGAAAUCAAAGACAUUCCAGAGACUGAACUAAUAUCUAAGAUAAUCAGCACUUGAGUUUAUGUCAGGAUCUAACUAAAGGCUGAACAGGGAUGACAUCACUGUGUGACUCUCGAAAAGGGCAUGUGCACUGCCUUGUCAUUAUACAUAAAUGUAAUCUACUAGUUCCUCAGAGGCCGGUCUGCUUUCUCAGAUGACAAAUACCACAAAUAUGACAUCAUCCCUUAAUCCAAAACACAUCAUCUAAUGACACCAUCUCAUGCACAUGUGCUCAUUAUUUACAGCUCAAACUGUUGGGCUUGGUUUAACACCAUCUGCACGCUACAGUAGUAAAUAAAGAUUAAAGUGGUAAAUGGUGACAAUAAACUCAAGCAAACAGAAAUAGAGGAAUUAUGAGACAAAUUAAGCCAAAAGGCCAUGUAAUGGGUCUAAGCUUAAAUCCAGAUUUUAAAACUCACAUGUUAGUUUCCCGUGUACCAAAACAUUUCAGAAAAAAAAAAAAAAAAAAGAAAAAAAAAAAACAGGACUUGGCCAAAGUUUGUAGAUCACAGAACUUUAGCAUCUACCAUCUAUCAAACUGUAAUGUCAAAUGUCCCGGCAGACAAAUCACCCCUAAUUAGGGUCUUUUUAGGAACAAGGAUCACGUAAUCAAUGAUCUUAGUUACAGUAAUAACAAAUAAUAAAUUAAAGGAAAUCUGCUUUCAAAAAAAUGGAAACGUGGGAAAAGCGAGGGAAAAAAAGAUCCGUUUUAACAAUUAAUAAGAUGGAAAGGGUCAAAUAUGACUAGCAGAGAACUAAACCAAAGAGUUUGUGUUUCUGGGCUCUCUUGACAAAGUUAACAUACUAUAACUCAUGUUCAGCUUGGCCCUGACUUCCCCACAUAUCAACUUUCAGAGUGUCUCAUGCCAGAAAAACAAAACCUGGCAAGGAAGUUUAAGCUAUUCUGACUUUUGGUUUUCUAAUAGAUCUAAAUUAUCUGCUAAAUGGAACCAGCCAAGUCUGAAAUAUUUGUAUGUCACAAGGUGAUGCCUUAUCUUGCACUGGAUUAUACAAAGAAAGAUUAACCGCAUCUCUUUAGAUUGGUAUCUGUCUUUUUCCUUGCAGUUUGAAAAUUAGACUAAUAGAGUCCAGUUUUUGAUAAAUGUAUAUAAUGUUUUCUCUGCUACAUUCAGAAUUGAAAUAGAAUAACCUUACCACAGUCUACAGAUCCAAAAGAGCUCAUUCGCUAGAAGCCAUUUCAGGUAGCUGUAUUGAAACUCACUGAAGAAAAAAAGCAAUGCUAAACUUAAUGAUGAACGUCAAUGUAAAACAGAAUGAACUGAUUAAUUGCAGGAAUCUUCAGGCACAUCAAGAUUCCAUUUAUGUUCAUGCUAAGAAACCUGAAUCAUUAGGUGGAAUGUGAAUAAUAUGCAAAGGAAUCACACUGCAUCAGCUAAUCAGUGUUUCACUUCACCCCUGUAAUUGAUGUAGCAGAAUGAAAUCUCAGACUGUAACAGAGGAAUGAACCAAUGACCCAUAGCGGCAUUCUGCUCCAUUUAACCAGUAUGACUUUUACAGUGCUUGAUAUAUGAUCAAAGUCCUGAGAUUGGGAGGUGACUGGUAAACACUCAUGGAGUCUGGUUUCAACCACUCAUUGGUCACCUGAUUUGGGUCAUUACUAUGCAGUAGGAGGUCAGAAAACUGUCCACUCAUUCCACAUCACAUUUACCUAAAAUUACCACUCACGCACACACACAUCUCUAUCCUAAAAAGGGAAUGUGUUUUCUGAGUGGCUGACUCUGGGUCACCGCUUCUUUCUUUCCUUUGUCUGAAUGGCUGGGCGGUGUCAAUGAUGUGGCUGCACCUUAUGUUGAAAGCAAUAGAAGGUUAUGUUUGUGUGCUUAGUGCAUAACCUUCACUGAGUAUCUAGGGCACCAAUGACAAGUAACCUUCUAAAUGAAGCCAACAGGUUCAGCCAUGGCUUUCAAACCUAGUUUACAGAAAAUAUAAACAAGUUUAAAUAUAGUAUAUUCAUAUACAGAAGACCAAAAAGUAUUGUGCUGUAAUGUACACUAUUGUUCAAAAGCUUAGGGCCAGACAAAAACAAUACUUCUAUUCAGCAAGGACACACUGAAUUGGUCAAAAGUGACAGUAGUGUAAUGCUACAAAAGAUUUCCAAACCUUUUUUAUUAUUAUUAUUGAUUUAUUUAUUUAUUAAUUUAUUUUUUAAAAAUUAUAUAUUAUAUAUAGAUAGCGCGCGAGUACUAAAUUAAAUUCUCUUUUGCCUCUUCUAGCGCUGGAAUGGUUUAAAAUCUAUUCAAUAUGCAAACUAGCAAGACAAAACGCAUGCAAAUUAUAAACUUUCAGUCUAUGGCGGUUAAACUUGAAAAUAAUCACAUGCGUGCCGAACCGUGUGUCCUGGUCCGUACGGAUCACGGAUCAACAACGGUCCGUUUAACCCCUAGUCAGAAUGUCAUCUUUGGCUGUUCAGUGUAUCACAGAAUAAUCAUUAUUUUUAAGAAGCUGUGUCAAGUUAAAAAUGGUUUCUAAAAAGCAUCUGAAGUGUCCUGUGUUCUGUUCUUUGCGGUAACUGUCUUUUGAAUACAAUAAUGUGUUCAGAUGUUUUUAGUCUUUGCCAUCACAAGAGCUUGACACAUUUCAAAAAUGCUCUGAGCUAAACAAUCUGUUGUGAAUUUUGUUAUACAGUGACAGAGCACAGAAAAUUAUCCUUAAGCCAGAUAAUAAGUCAUUGUUAGACACUUAAGCUUAGCUAAAGCUAGAGAGAGUAUAUUUAGCAUAAGGCAGUUAAUUUACAGCUAACACCUAAGCCUGUCAUACUAUUAAGAACUACAGACACAAAUACUCAACCAGUGGAAAAUGAUAUUGCGGUGUGGAAAUGGAGUUAAGAUAUUUACAUAGCUUAAAAGCUUAUCCAGCAGUAGAAAAUGUGUUUGCACGUCCUAAUCACAUCUGACUGCAUAUGGGUAUGCUUAAAAGCCUAAUUUCCUCUUCUGACCUCAUGUUGUACAGAAAAUAUUGUUUGUAAUGUGUAUCUGCCAUUUGUGUGGGUCUAUUUUGGUCAGAGAAGUGAUGGAGAGAGAGCAGGUGGGGUCACUGAACAGCUGUAAAGCAUGAGGCACUGUUAUUUAGGCCUACUGCCUGUACACAUAUACACGCACAGAUACCAUUAAAGGAUACACAACAUAAAGUGGUCACUGGUCAGAAAAACAAUAUGGCUGCAUCUGAUAUCUAAGGUCAAUGACUUCACACGUAGUGUUUUUGUACAAAAGCACCUCCUAAUGAAACAGGCUUUCAAGGCACAUCAAGUUUAAUGAUCUAGAAGACAUUCAAGUGAGCUUUAAGCAAAUAUUAUUUAGGUGACUACAACAUGUAUUUCUCUGUACAAAUUAAUAAGUUGACAUUUAUAAAUAAAUUUACUCCAUCAGA